AACGAACGCUGGCGGCAGGCUUAACACAUGCAAGUCGAACGCCCCGCAAGGGGAGUGGCAGACGGGUGAGUAACGCGUGGGAACAUACCCUUUCCUGCGGAAUAGCUCUGGGAAACUGGAAUUAAUACCGCAUACGCCCUACGGGGGAAAGAUUUAUCGGGGAAGGAUUGGCCCGCGUUGGAUUAGCUAGUUGGUGGGGUAAAGGCCUACCAAGGCGACGAUCCAUAGCUGGACUGAGAGGAUGAUCGGCCACAUUGGGACUGAGACACGGCCCAAACUCCUACGGGAGGCAGCAGUGGGGAAUAUUGGACAGUGGGCGCAAGCCUGAUCCAGCCAUGCCGCGUGAGUGAUGAAGGCCUUAGGGUUGUAAAGCUCUUUCACCGAUGAAGAUAAUGACGGUAGUCGGAGAAGAAGCCCCGGCUAACUUCGUGCCAGCAGCCGCCGUAACAC
rnacentral:rRNA from 1 species